rnacentral:rRNA from 1 species
ACGGGUGAGUAACACGUGGGCAACCUGCCCUUGAGACUGGGAUAACUUCGGGAAACCGGAGCUAAUACCGGAUAAUAUAAGGAACCUCCUGGUUCCUUAUUGAAAGAUGGUUUCGGCUAUCACUUAAGGAUGGGCCCGCGGCGCAUUAGCUAGUUGGUGAGGUAACGGCUCACCAAGGCGACGAUGCGUAGCCGACCUGAGAGGGUGAUCGGCCACACUGGGACUGAGACACGGCCCAGACUCCUACGGGAGGCAGCAGUAGGGAAUCUUCCACAAUGGACGAAAGUCUGAUGGAGCAACGCCGCGUGAGUGAUGAAGGCCUUCGGGUCGUAAAGCUCUGUUGUUAGGGAAGAACAAGUGCGAGAGUAACUGCUCGCACCUUGACGGUACCUAACCAGAAAGCCACGGCUAACUACGUGCCAGCAGCCGCGGUAAUACGUAGGUGGCAAGCGUUAUCCGGAAUUAUUGGGCGUAAAGCGCGCGCAGGUGGUUUCUUAAGUCUGAUGUGAAAGCCCACGGCUCAACCGUGGAGGGUCAUUGGAAACUGGGGAACUUGAGUGCAGAAGAGGAAAGUGGAAUUCCAAG